GUAGGUGAACCUGCGGAGGGAUCAUUACCGAGUGAGGGCGUUAACGCCCGACCUCCAACCCUUUGUGAACCAACCUCUGUUGCCUCGGGGGCGACCCGGCCCUUCGGGUGUCGGGGCCCUCGGUGGACCACACUUCAACUCUGCGUCUUUGCGACUGAGUCUUAUGAUAAAUCAAUCAAAACUUUUAACAACGGAUCUCUUGGUUCUG
rnacentral:misc_RNA from 1 species